rnacentral:rRNA from 1 species
UACGUAGGGACCAAGCGUUGUUCGGAUUUACUGGGCGUAAAGGGCGCGUAGGCGGCAUGACAAGUCACCUUGUGAAAUCUCCGGGCUUAACUCGGAACGGCCAAGUGAUACUGUCGCGCUAGAGUGCGGAAGGGGCAAUCAGAAUUCUUGGUGUAGCGGUGAAAUGCGCAGAUAUCAGGAGGAACACCGGUGGCGAAGGCGGAUCUCUGGGCCAUUACUGACGCUGGAGGAGCGAAAGCCGUGGGGAGCGAACAGG